CUUCAAUGUCAUUUCUUCGAGCUUUUAGCCAAUAGUCCUUUAUCUUUGGGGUUAGGCCUAUAUUUAUUCCUUAAAUAUGCACAUGAGCACAUAUUGUCCUUUAAGUUUACAAAAGUUGAGGAGAUGUAGUCUACUUAAACAAACACAUCUAGGAACUAACGGUCCUUCCGUUUGUGAAUUGAGUGGGUGAAAAAUUUAUUUAACUUGGUUGUGAAUUCUUUUUCCACGUUCACUUUCCUCGUUAUUUUGAUGUCUCCGCCUCUUUUUUCCCUAGUUGGAGCGGAGUCAAGCUUCAGGAAGCAUAGCCACAUGACAUCAGGCCCUCAAAGCCUUGUUCCAACGUUGAGAUUAUCGUUAUUUUUUGCAGUUAAUAUCUUUCCAAGAUGAGGAUCCUUCCAAAGCUCAACCCUUAUCUGCCUGCUGCAUCGCUGUCUAAACCUUCCGCUGGAGCCUUCGCUUGCAGAUGCAUAUUAUUAAUUAGAAUUCAACAAGUCUUUUCAAGAAAAAUUUAUUAGUAAGAUUAUUUAUGAAAUAAUUGAAGUGGUGGUGGACAAAACCACAACAAGCAGCUUUCAAUUAAGAUGGUGGUGAGCUCCAUAGAGUUUUGUACAAAUCAUAUUCCAGUUAGUGGGGACUAUGUCCACCAUGGAAGUCUGAAAAUAAUCCAACAAAAAUGGCUUGCAAGGUGAAGCCAGCGAGUAGUCUCAUGAGCUCGUACGGAUUCUCCCCAUUAGAGGCAGAUUGAGGAAGUGCAACGGGGAAGAAGGGUUCACGGUGGAAAAUUAUUGUUUACCCAGAUCUAUUCGAGGGAUAUAUGACUCCGAGCGUCAGAUUCAAUGGACUCCUGUGUAUCCUUUUUUUUAAUUGGGACGUUGUGAGUAUCUCUCGCUCACGCCUUAGAAGUUUUGAACUUAACCCAGAAAGAGAAUACCAAAGAGAGACAACCCCUUUCAUUACCGCUUGUCAAGUCAAAUUGCAGCAGAUUUUUUUCCCCAGUAAAAUAAGAUAUUUGCUGAGAAAAAAAUCUGAUUUUUUACUUUCCAUCUCCUUCAAAUUGAAAUCAACAAAAUAUUGCUCCAUAGAUACUCUACCAAUCUUAUUUGAAAACAGAAGUAUUCUUUUAUGCCUUUUUCAUCAUUUUCAUAGAGAAAAAGAAGAGAAAAAGAGGCCAGAGGAAUUCGGACCAAAGCAUAAUUUCUCGAAAGGAAGAAAAAUAAAGAUUAUAGAGGUUCUAUCUGCUUUUUAUUGGGUUUCAUGGACAGUGCUAAAAUUUAAAUAUAUAUGUCAACGUUAAUGGUGCUUUUUUAUGCCUUUUUCCCUUCUUUUUAAAGUAUUUUAUGGGUUUCACUUUUGAGUGUCUUUGAAAAAUGGCUAAUUGCUUGAGAGAAUAAAAUUAGAGAACGAAUUAGAAACUUGAAUUCUGGUAAAUGGAGAUAUUGAGUUAAGGGAGUUGGAGAGAUUUGGAAGAGGAGAGAAUAAUAGGGCAAGGGCUGGAGUUGUUCAAUUUUGAGAAAAGGUGGGACCAAAAAUACACUUGGCAAAAUUCUAAAGGAGUCUCAUGCAAGUUGUGUCUGCCACAUAAUAGUUGAAUCUCAUGCAAAAUAAAAUUUCUCGA